rnacentral:lncRNA from 1 species
AUGAUGAUUAGAAUUUCAGUUUGCUACUUACCUGGACCACCAUGGCAGCAGCAAUACCUACAAUUACAAAGAGAUAUUGGAACAAUUGUCCAGAGAGACCGAGAAUUCUCCGCUACCAUUGACACCAGUACUAGGAAGAGACCUGUCACCUGGAUGACAUGGGGUGCCUCUGAGCUUUGGAUGCAGAAGAGCUUGAGGCACUGCAAACAAAAAGGACAGUAAGCAGCUCUAUUUGGGAACUGGAAGCCUGAUGGAAAGGGAGGUGAACACUCUCCCCUCCUGUAAUUCUUUACUUGACUAGAGAAUUCACCAAUGCCCUGCUGAGGAAGGCACACAGAUGGUCCCAGAAUUACAUUGUAGUUUGAUUUGCAAGAUACUCUGGUUUGCUUUUGCACGGGUUAAUUGGUAAGCUCUAUGUAGUUCAUUUCAGAGUUUUCUCAAUUAAUUUUUUUGGCUGCCUUUGUAAGUUUUCAAGUCCACAAUCUGGUUGCUAAGGAGAAGUUUCUGUAUCACUUGGACCCCACACUGACAUUCAAGUUAAAAAUUUGUAGAGUGGACCAGGUAAGUCACACCCCAGCUGAGGGCCAGAGUGAAGCCUGAAAUUAUGAUUGUGCAUUAUAAACUAAAGUGCAAAAUCAACAUUUAUUUUGUUGCUGGAAUUUUUCAGAGUCAGAUUCUAAGUAUUCCUUUUGUCACUGUCAGCAACAGCCUUCUAACAGUGUUUCCU